UGAGGAAUAUUGGACAAUGGGUGAGAGCCUGAUCCAGCCAUCCCGCGUGAAGGACGACGGCCCUAUGGGUUGUAAACUUCUUUUGUAUAGGGAUAAACCUUUCCACGUGUGGAAAGCUGAAGGUACUAUACGAAUAAGCACCGGCUAACUCCGUGCCAGCAGCCGCGGUAAUACGGAGGGUGCAAGCGUUAUCCGGAUUUAUUGGGUUUAAAGGGUCCGUAGGCGGAUCUGUAAGUCAGUGGUGAAAUCUCACAGCUUAACUGUGAAACUGCGAUGGAUACUGCAGGUCUUGAGUAAGGUAGAAGUAGCUGGAAUAAGUAGUGUAGCGGUGAAAUGCAUAGAUAUUACUUAGAACACCCAUUCCGAAGGCAGGUUACUAUGUCUUAACUGACGCUGAUGGACGAAAGCGUGGGGAGCGAACA
rnacentral:rRNA from 1 species